GACGGAAAACUUCUCCUCGGGAUUGGUUACCUCCUCCAUCAAUUACAUCAAAUCAGAUUCCACCCACUGGCUAGAUCCUUGUUUAUCAUGCUUUCUCGAAGAAGUGAAAGUGCACGCUAGUAUUAAUUGAGUUUAUUGUUCGUUUCUCCGGUCCAGAUAUCUUCAGUAAGGGGGUUUCGCUGUUCAUUCACCUCAACAGAUCAGUUGGAUGAUGUGGUCACGGCCUGCGCCACACCCCGAGAAGAGGCCCUGCGUCAUGCUAAUGUCAAUCGGUGUUGCCCAUUGGUCUACAGUCUGAAAGCUCUAGCCAAUGGAAAAGUCGUACGGCCGCCGGUCAAGGGGUUAGGAGCCCUCAGUGGCAGGUAGCCUGUCAGUCAUUUGAAUCCCGCCUUUUCCCUCUCCUCAGGGGUUGGGAAGCAGCUGCAUCUGAGAGUAAAGGAAUCCCUUUGCUUCGUGGCCCCACAGCACAGGUGGAUUGAGGAGAGGCAGGAAUGGUGUGUGAGAUCUAAAAUGGUGCUGGAUUCAUUUUUAAUGCUGCAGUAUUCUGAAAGAAAAUCGAAAUAGAAAAUAUACACUUAAAAAGGAAACAUCUGCAGAACCAAGGAGCAGUAGGAGAUGGAUUGUUUGUUUAAAGAAUUGAGACACUGAUGGGCCGAAUGGCCUCACGCUGGGCUACAUCAUCCCAAUCUCUACGUUCAUCACUUUGAUGUUGAGGCAACUGGGCUCUGCAGUUUUCAUUAACCAAUCCAAAUCUAUUGUUAUUGUGGUGUGCUGAACCACUGUACUCUGAUUGUUUGAUUCUUUUCUACAGGACCUUUACCCAAAGGUCUUUAUUGGUGAUUUUUACGAAGGUGAUGCGUUUUGCAUGUUCUAACAGUUGACAGAUUGACUUCAAGCGACGGAGGAAAUAAUUGGGAACUUAGCACUAUCUGACUUUUGCAGGAAUUUUAGAAAUUGGAUUUUUAAGAGAUCACAUUUAUAUCUUAUGAUCCUAUUGUGCAUUAUACAUUUUGACUACAUGCCAACUGUAGGAGCAGUAAAAUGCUAUUAAGCAUCAACCAUGGCUCAGUGAUAAUAUUCUCAUCACGUAGGCAUGAAGCUAUGGGUACAACCCCACUCUAAAGAUUAGAGCCACAUAAUUUAGUCUUGCAUUUCAACACAAUACUUUCAAAUGCAGUAUUAAGAUCAGCCCUUUCCUGCGCUUGUAGGUAAAUGAAAAUGUCCAAUUGCACUGUCCAAAGGAGAAUAGGUGCAUUCUCAUUGUUGUCCUGUUCAAUAUUUAACCCUCAAACAACA